AUUGAACGCUGGCGGCAUGCCUUACACAUGCAAGUCGAACGGUAACGGGCCUUCGGGUGCCGACGAGUGGCGAACGGGUGAGUAAUGUAUCGGAACGUACCUUUCAGUGGGGGAUAACGUAGCGAAAGUUACGCUAAUACCGCAUAUUCCGUGAGCAGGAAAGCAGGGGAUCGCAAGACCUUGCGCUGAUUGAGCGGCCGAUAUCAGAUUAGCUAGUUGGUGAGGUAAAGGCUCACCAAGGCUACGAUCUGUAGCGGGUCUGAGAGGAUGAUCCGCCACACUGGAACUGAGACACGGUCCAGACUCCUACGGGAGGCAGCAGUGGGGAAUUUUGGACAAUGGGGGCAACCCUGAUCCAGCCAUGCCGCGUGAGUGAAGAAGGCCUUCGGGUUGUAAAGCUCUUUCGGCCGGGAAGAGAUCGUAUUAGCUAAUACCUGGUGCGGAUGACGGUACCGGCAUAAGAAGCACCGGCUAACUACGUGCCAGCCGCCGCAGUAACAC
rnacentral:rRNA from 1 species